ACUCCUCCACUCCUUACCUUUUUCGAAGGGUAUCGAGCUGGGAUUUGAGAGUUGCGGGUCCCUGGCCGAUCCGCUCUCUUUGAAUGCAUUAGCGAAGCCCUCGCGGCCUUGGUGUGAUAGUAAUCUACGCCUCGGUUCCGUGCAUCAGUGUGGCUACGCUUCCAACCGUCUCGCAAGGGACAACGACUACCA
rnacentral:misc_RNA from 1 species